rnacentral:rRNA from 1 species
AGACGGGGGGUGCUAGCGUUGUUCGGAAUUACUGGGCGUAAAGGGCGCGUAGGCGGCUCUGCGAGUCGGGCGUGAAAUCCCGGGGCUCAACCCCGGAACGGCGCUCGAUACUGCGGGGCUGGAGACCGGAAGAGGAGGGUGGAAUUCCCAGUGAGAGGUGAAAUUCGUAGAUAUUGGGAGGAACACCGGUGGCGAAAGCGGCUCUCUGGUCCGGUUCUGACGCUGAGGCGCGAAAGCGUGGGGAGCAAACAGGAUUAGAAACCCUAGUAGUCC